rnacentral:rRNA from 1 species
UUCGUAGGCUGUCGCGCAAGUCUGAUGUGAAAUCUCCGGGCUCAACCCGGAAACUGCAUUGGAAACUGCGUGACUUGAGUACUGGAGAGGUAAGCGGAAUUCCUGGUGUAGCGGUGGAAUGCGUAGAUAUCAGGAGGAACACCGAUGGCGAAGGCAGCUUACUGGACAGUUACUGACGCUGAGGAACGAAAGCUAGGGGAGCGAACAGGAUUAGAUACCCGAGUAGUCC